UACGUAGGGGGCAAGCGUUGUCCGGAUUUAUUGGGCGUAAAGAGCUCGUAGGCGGUUCCGUAAGUCGUGAAGUCAAAUCUCUGGGCUCAACCCAGAAUCGCUUCCGAUACUGCGGUGACUGGAGUCCGGUAGGGGAGUGUGGAAUUCCUGGUGUAGCGGUGAAAUGCGCAGAUAUCAGGAGGAACACCAACAGCGAAGGCAGCACUCUGGGCCGGUACUGACGCUGAGGAGCGAAAGCCAGGGGAGCAAACAGG
rnacentral:rRNA from 1 species